rnacentral:lncRNA from 1 species
UGACAAGCACAUGAUAAGCAGGCUGGUAAGUCUGUAAACUCUGAGUACCUCAGCCAGUGGGGAAAAGAGGAGGGAUAAUGCAGUCAGGAAGUUAGGAUAAAAAGGGCUCUGCAAACCCUUAAAAUUAGAGAGAUCCAUAGGGGUAUGCACCAGUGGAUGCUCUCUUUAUUCAAAUAAAGAAAGCUGAAGGCUCUCCUCUGUCUCUGGGAUAAAGAUGACAGAGCAAGCUUAUUGGAGCAGAAGUUUUCCCAACAACUUGGGGCUCAUCCAGGAUCUGUCCGCUCUGGGGUUGGUGGGCUCCUGAUUGAGCAGACAGGUGCCCUCACCGAUUUUUGGUGAUCACAUUGCUCUGGGGUUUGUUGGCACUGGGGGAUUGAUUGGGUUCUUAGGACCAUCCCAGAGACAGACAGGAUGACAGAUCUGGGUAGUCCAUGAAGAAAGAAAAAUGAAGGUAACAGAGGAGGCUAAGACUAAAUGAAGAAAUCUCACCAAUCCAGGACAAAAGACUGGAUGCUGAACCUUGCUCUCUGUGACGACCUCGUUCUGAAGCUGGCUCGUGAUGAAGGAAGAUGCUCCCAGGCUCUGCCAGGAGCCCAUGGUGCUGUUGGCUGGGAAGACGGGUUUUUACAUGUCUAGGCUCGCAGCGCGCAUCGGGUGCGACUGCGCUCAGACCCGAGCAGAUGCUGCAUUCGGAUGCGCAGCGCCGGCUUCGCUGAGCGGGG